CCCCAAGGAGGGGGGUAGUGAGGAGAUUGUUGCCCUGGCGACCCAGGAAUGUAAACAACAAGACUUUCUCACUAUAAUAAUAGACUCUGGUGCCUCAAAUUCGCUAGUGCCAUCUGCUGAUCUUUUGAGGAAUUGCAGGACAGUAAAAACUGAGAAGUUUGUUAAGUUUGCAGAUGGGAGCAGAAAAAGGCUCACAGACACAGGAUUGUUCUUUUGUCCUUUUCUUAAGCAUGAAGUCAAAGCUUAUGCAGUGCCCGGUUUAACUAACUGUUUGUUAAGUGUGCAUGAUCUAUUGAUCGAUGAUUUUCAAAUUUCUUUUGCAGGUGACAAAUGUGAAUUUUCCAAGGAUGGGAAACACGUGUACACAGUGCAGUCUAAAGAUAAUUUGUUUGCUGUAAAUGUGCCUUUUUCCACAGGAGAGGAUGACACCGAAGAUGCGAAGGGCCAAUGUGUGAAUGUAGCGCCCCACAAUGGUUGUUUACAUAUUUGGCACCGGCGCUUCGCUCAUUUAAAUUAGAGAUUUCUCCAGAAAGCACCAGAGCUGACACAAGGGUGCAAAUUUAAUGUUUGUGACAAAUUUCUAGAUUGCAAUGCAUGUAAACAGGCGAAAGUUGUGACAUGCUCAUAUCCAAAGUCAGAGAGGCAGACCACACAACCCUUUGAAUUAAUUCAUGCAGAUUUGUGUGGACCCAUGUCUGUUGAGUCACUGGGAGGUUCGAAGUAUUCUUUGCUUUUGAUUGAUGAUUUUUCGAGGUCUGCUUGGACCUUCUCUCUGAAAACGAAAGGGGAGGCGGCUAAAAUGAUCAGGGAUUGGAUCACCGCAGUUGAGGUAACCUUUUCCACCAAAGUUCGUGGUUUUCAAAGUGACAGAGGUGCUGAAUUCACUGGUUCUGCUUUACAGGAUUUCUUUAGGGAGAAGGGGAUUAGCCACAGACUGACCGCUCCUUACUCUCCGCAACAGAAUGGGGUCGCAGAGAGAAAGAACAGGACGGUGCAGGAAGCUGUGUCUGCGAUCCUGUGGGACGCAGGGCUACCCCAGAAAUUUUGGUCGGAGGCUUGGCACUAUGUGGUCCAUACCGAGAACAGAGUGUACAACUCUAGUGUAGGAAAUACACCGUAUUUCUUACUUCAUGGAGAGAAGCCUAAGGUACACUACCUUCGUGUGUUUGGUUGUGAGGCUUGGGUGCUUAUUCCAAAGGCUCUACGCAAGAAAGGUGAGCCAAGAUCUAAAAGGAUGAUCUUUGUAGGGUAUGAGCCUGGCUCAAAGGCCUGGAGGUUUGCGUACCCAAGUGGAGACCAGUCUAGGUUGGUUAUCAGCAAUAGCGCUGAGUUCUGUGAGCAAGCUGGUUGGAAACGUCUGCACGCUAAUCCAGACGUGCUUCCACAGCAGUUCUAUGACUCAGACGAGGAGGAGGAGGAACUUGGAGCUGGGGACCACGGUCCAGAGGGACAGAGUCCAAGGCAGGGACAGCUCAGGAUCCCUCAGAGGGGGGAACCUAGAACACCUCCUCAGGCAAGUGUCAAGUUUGAGCCAAAGAGUGAGCCUUCUUCACCUGCUGGACCAGCUGUAAGGCCCAAGAGGCGCAGCAGGUCAGAGGGGGAAGACACUGAAGUUGAGGAUGAUUUAGCUGGACCCAGUGAAGCAGCAGGGUCACCAGGAGUCACACUGAGGAGAUCAGCGAGGACAAGGAGGCCUCCUGAUCGGUACGACGCUUCAGGCGUCUGGGUAGGUUCUGCAAGAUGUGAACCUGAAUCCUUCGAGGAUAUUCAGAGUUUACCUGAGGAAGAAGCAGGCAAGUGGCACAGGGCAAUGGACAAAGAGAUGAAGUCCAUGAAAGAUCUAGGUGUGUUCUCACUCACAGAGUUGCCACCGGGGAAGCAGGCUGUGAGUUCCAGAUGGGUUUACCGCUUGAAACCCACUGACGCUGGAGAGCCGCAGUAUAAAGCCAGGUUAGUUGCUCGAGGAUUUACUCAGAGGAAGGGAAUACACUUCACGGAGGUGUAUUCGCCAACGUCACGAGCGGAGACUCUGAGAACGCUUUUAGCUUGUGCAGCACAGAGAGGCUGGAAGGUAAACCACUUUGAUGUGGAUGUUGCCUACCUUAACUCAGAUCUCCAGGAGGAGCUGUACAUGAUUCCUCCUCCGGGGUUUGAGAACUCAAGGCAGGAUGUUGUGUGGAGAUUGCACAAAUCCAUCUAUGGAUUACGUCAAUCUGCUAGAAACUGGAACAUGUGCCUGAAUGAAGCUUUGGAGAAGCUAGGUUUCAGGAAGAGUCUUGCUGAUAGUUGCCUGUUCCUUAGAGGAUCAGGAGACUCACAGGAGCUGGUGCUGAUUUGGGUUGAUGACGUGCUUUUCGUCUCAGAAACAGAUGAACAGGCGGAGAAGUUUGCCAAAGAGCUAGGUAAACGAUUCAAGCUUAAACAGCUUGGUGCUGUCAAAACCUAUCUAGGUGUCAAUGUUGAGCGUGCACAGGAUGGAAGUUUUUGCUCAGCCAGAGAGGUAAAAUUGAGCAACUGCUUCAGAAGUUCAGGAUGAGUGAUUGUGCAGGAGUGAGAAGUCCUAUGGAGACUAGUUUUGUGAAGGACAGCCAGCAAGCAGAACGCGCUGCGUUCGAAAAUACUGAAGUGUUUCAGUCAGCCCUAGGGAGUUUGUUGUACUUGUCCCAGUGGAGCAGACCUGAUAUAGCGUUUGCUGUCAAUCUGCUCAGCAGGGAGGCAUCAAACCCUAGUGUGCAAGCCUGGAAUGGCAUCAAGAGAGUUCUGAGGUAUUUGCAGGAGACCAAAGACUUUUGUCUUAGGUUGCCAGCACAAGGAGAAGUCAAACUGACUUGCUUUGUGGACUCGGAUUGGGCUAAUCUUGAGGAUCGCAAGUCUGUGUCUGGCCUAGUGGUGAAGUUUGGGAACUCAGUAGUUGGAUGGAGGUCCAAGAAGCAAAGUCUUAUAGCGCUCUCAUCCACUGAGGCUGAGUUUAGUGCUCUUUCAGAGAUGUGCAGAGAAGUAGAGUUCUAUGCUUGUUUGGUGCAGGAACUCUGCGAAGUGGAUUGUCUGCCGAUACGUGUUUUCGAGGACAAUCAACCAUGCCUGCGUUUGGCAGAGUCAGGUCAGUUCAAGGCCAGAACGAAACACCUAGACAUUCGUUUUCGGAAUGUGUGCCAGAGUGUUCAGGAGGGAUUAGUUGCGCUGAAGUAUUGUCCCUCUGCCAAGAACCUAGCUGAUGGGUUCACGAAGCCACUCACCUUCCAAAGACAUGGGGAGUUUUGUGAAGGUCUGGGUUUGGGACGACCAAGGGUCGAUUCUCCCCUCAGGCGCGAGACAAGAGGGGGUGUUGGGUGUAGUGAAGGGUUAACCUUCUGUGUCUCGAGGCUGAGAGGAGGCGCUUACAAGGGAAGUAAGCCAGGACGUGACGAAAGCAGCUUGGAAUGCUGUGAGCUGAGUGAAAAGUGAAAGCAGCUUUGUUCCGCAGCUGCUGCUGAGGGAGAAGGAUGCAAACAGGUCGCAAAAUGCAACUGGAAUCAGAUGGUGUAUAUGAACUGUAAAUAUGCUAUUUUUGAGCAAAUAAAGUGCUAUUAGGAAAGAAGAAACGUGUGGGACCUAUUUACUGACUGCCCUUUCAUACACGGACGCUGUGCAAAUUCUGCUAAUUGCUUUACGACCUGCAGAGGCUCGCAGGGGGAAGUGUGCUGGACGACAAGAGUAAAGCAAUAAAUCUUACCUAACAGAA